CCUGCUGCCCCUCCUCUGCCUGGGCUUGGACGGCUCCCCCCUUCCCACGGGUGAAGGUGCAGGUGGGGAGAGGGCACCCCCCUCACCCUCCCAGACCCAGACCAGCCCCCGUGGCAGGGGCAGCCUGUGAGCCUCCAGCCAGAUGCAGGUGGCCUGGGGUGGGGGGUGGAGGGGGCAGGAGGUUUAUGUUUGAGGCUGUAUCACUGUGUAAUAUUUUCGGCGGUGGGACCCAUCUGACCGUCCUCGGUCAGCCCAAGGCCGCUCCCACGGUCAACCUCUUCCCGCCCUCCUCUGAGGAGCUCGGCACCAACAAGGCCACCCUGGUGUGUCUAAUAAGUGACUUCUACCCGGGCGCCGUGACGGUGACCUGGAAGGCAGGCGGCACCACCGUCACCCAGGGCGUGGAGACCACCAAGCCCUCGAAACAGAGCAACAACAAGUACGCGGCCAGCAGCUACCUGGCCCUGUCCGCCAGUGACUGGAAAUCUUCCAGCGGCUUCACCUGCCAGGUCACCCACGAGGGGACCAUUGUGGAGAAGACAGUGACGCCCUCCGAGUGCGCCUAGGUCCCUGGGCCCCCACCCUCAGGGGCCUGGAGCCACAGGACCCCCGCGAGGGUCUCCCCCCGCGACCCUGGUCCAGCCCAGCCCUUCCUCCUGCACCUGUCAACUCCCAAUAAACCGUCCUCCUUGUCAUUCAGAAA